AAAUAUGGCGUUUUACCGCCAUGCAUACAUAGCUAUUCACAGCCCAAGAAUUACUCAGAAUUACAACAGAUUGAUAACAUGUAAAAUUGGGACGAUUCGAAGACAACAGAGUACCAAAAAAGCAAAAAGAUAUGGAAUUUCUAAAAUAUAUCUUGCUAUGGAACGAAUAUUCAAUAUGUUAGUGUACCAAAUAAAAAC